rnacentral:rRNA from 1 species
AUAGGGGAGCCGGAGGGAAACCGAGUCUUAAUUGGGCGUUAAGUUGCAGGGUAUAGACCCGAAACCCGGUGAUCUAGCCAUGGGCAGGUUGAAGGUUGGGUAACACUAACUGGAGGACCGAACCGACUAAUGUUGAAAAAUUAGCGGAUGACCUGUGGCUGGGGGUGAAAGGCCAAUCAAACCGGGAGAUAGCUGGUUCUCCCCGAAAGCUAUUUAGGUAGCGCCUCGUGAAUUCAUCUCCGGGGGUAGAGCACUGUUUCGGCUAGGGGGCCAUCCCGGCUUACCAACCCGAUGCAAACUGCGAAUACCGGAGAAUGUUAUCACGGGAGACACACGGCGGGUGCUAACGUCCGUCGUGAAGAGGGAAACAACCCAGACCGCCAGCUAAGGUCCCAAAGUCAUGGUUAAGUGGGAAACGAUGUGGGAAGGCCCAGACAGCCAGGAUGUUGGCUUAGAAGCAGCCAUCAUUUAAAGAAAGCGUAAUAGCUCACUGGUCGAGUCGGCCUGCGCGGAAGAUGUAACGGGGCUAAACCAUGCACCGAAGCUGCGGCAGCGACACUGUGUGUUGUUGGGUAGGGGAGCGUUCUGUAAGCCUGUGAAGGUGUGUCGUGAGGCAUGCUGGAGGUAUCAGAAGUGCGAAUGCUGACAUAAGUAACGAUAAAGCGGGUGAAAAGCCCGCUCGCCGGAAGACCAAGGGUUCCUGUCCAACGUUAAUCGGGGCAGGGUGAGUCGACCCCUAAGGCGAGGCCGAAAGGCGUAGUCGAUGGGAAACGGGUUAAUAUUCCCGUACUUGGUGUUACUGCGAAGGGGGGACGGAGAAGGCUAUGUUGGCCGGGCGACGGUUGUCCCGGUUUAAGCGUGUAGGUGUGUGUUCCAGGUAAAUCCGGUUCACUUUAACACUGAGGCGUGACGACGAGGCACUACGGUGCUGAAGCAACAAAUGCCCUGCUUCCAGGAAAAGCCUCUAAGCAUCAGGUAACAUCAAAUCGUACCCCAAACCGACACAGGUGGUCAGGUAGAGAAUACCAAGGCGCUUGAGAGAACUCGGGUGAAGGAACUAGGCAAAAUGGUGCCGUAACUUCGGGAGAAGGCACGCUGACACGUAGGUGAAGUGAUUUACUCAUGGAGCUGAAGUCAGUCGAAGAUACCAGCUGGCUGCAACUGUUUAUUAAAAACACAGCACUGUGCAAACACGAAAGUGGACGUAUACGGUGUGACGCCUGCCCGGUGCCGGAAGGUUAAUUGAUGGGGUCAGCGCAAGCGAAGCUCCUGAUCGAAGCCCCGGUAAACGGCGGCCGUAACUAUAACGGUCCUAAGGUAGCGAAAUUCCUUGUCGGGUAAGUUCCGACCUGCACGAAUGGCGUAAUGAUGGCCAGGCUGUCUCCACCCGAGACUCAGUGAAAUUGAACUCGCUGUGAAGAUGCAGUGUACCCGCGGCAAGACGGAAAGACCCCGUGAACCUUUACUAUAGCUUGACACUGAACAUUGAGCCUUGAUGUGUAGGAUAGGUGGGAGGCUUUGAAG